rnacentral:rRNA from 1 species
GACGUAGGGCGCGAGCGUUGUCCGGAUUUAUUGGGCGUAAAGAGCUCGUAGGCGGCUUGUCGCGUCGUUCGUGAAAACCUGCAGCUCAACUGCAGGCUUGCGGUCGGAUACGGGCAGGCUAGAGUUCGGUAGGGGAGACUGGAAUUCCUGGUGUAGCGGUGAAAUGCGCAGAUAUCAGGAGGAACACCGGUGGGCGAAGGCGGGUCUCUGGGCC